AUUGAACGCUGGCGGCAUGCUUUACACAUGCAAGUCGAGCGGCAGCGCGGGGGCAACCCUGGCGGCGAGCGGCGAACGGGUGAGUAAUGCAUCGGAACGUAUCCCGGAGUGGGGGAUAACCUAUCGAAAGGUGGGCUAAUACCGCAUGAGCUCUGAGGAGGAAAGCGGGGGACCGAAAGGCCUCGCGCUGUGGGAGCGGCCGAUGUCCGAUUAGCUAGUUGGUGGGGUAAAGGCCUACCAAGGCGACGAUCGGUAGCUGGUCUGAGAGGAUGAUCAGCCACACUGGGACUGAGACACGGCCCAGACUCCUACGGGAGGCAGCAGUGGGGAAUUUUGGACAAUGGGGGCAACCCUGAUCCAGCCAUGCCGCGUGAGUGAAGAAGG
rnacentral:rRNA from 1 species